GUAGCUUAACUCAAAGCAUGGCACUGAAGAUGCUAAGAUAGGUCCUAAAAAACCUCGCAUGCA
rnacentral:tRNA from 1 species